UACAGAGGUCCCGAGCGUUGUUCGGAUUCAUUGGGCGUAAAGGGUGCGUAGGCGGCGGGGCCAGUCUGAUGUGAAAUCCCCGGGCUCAACCCGGGAACUGCAUUGGAUACUGCCUUGCUAGAGUACUGGAGAGGGAACUGGAAUUUACGGUGUAGCAGUGAAAUGCGUAGAGAUCGUAAGGAAGGCCAGUGGCGAAGGCGAGUUCCUGGACAGUGACUGACGCUGAGGCACGAAGGCCAGGGAGCAAACGGG
rnacentral:rRNA from 1 species